UACAGAGGUCUCGAGCGUUGUUCGGAUUCAUUGGGCGUAAAGGGUGCGUAGGUGGCGCUGUAAGUCAGGUGUGAAAUUUCGGAGCUUAACUCCGAAACUGGCAUUUGAUACUGCGGUGCUUGAGGACUGGAGAGGACGACUGGGAAUUUACGGUGUAGCAGUGAAAUGGCGUAGAGAUCGUAAGGAAGACCAGGUGGCGAAGGCGGGUCCUGCCUGG
rnacentral:rRNA from 1 species